rnacentral:rRNA from 1 species
GGGUUGUGAGGUUAAGCGACUAAGCGUACACGGUGGAUGCCCUGGCAGUCAGAGGCGAUGAAGGACGUGCUAAUCUGCGAUAAGCGUCGGUGAGGUGAUAUGAACCGUUAUAACCGGCGAUUUCCGAAUGGGGAAACCCAGUGUGUUUCGACACACUAUCAUUAACUGAAUCCAUAGGUUAAUGAGGCGAACCGGGGGAACUGAAACAUCUAAGUACCCCGAGGAAAAGAAAUCAACCGAGAUUCCCCCAGUAGCGGCGAGCGAACGGGGAGGAGCCCAGAGCCUGAAUCAGUGUGUGUGUUAGUGGAAGCGUCUGGAAAGGCGCGCGAUACAGGGUGACAGCCCCGUACACAAAAAUGCACAUAUUGUGAGCUCGAUGAGUAGGGCGGGACACGUGGUAUCCUGUCUGAAUAUGGGGGGACCAUCCUCCAAGGCUAAAUACUCCUGACUGACCGAUAGUGAACCAGUACCGUGAGGGAAAGGCGAAAAGAACCCCGGCGAGGGGAGUGAAAAAGAACCUGAAACCGUGUACGUACAAGCAGUGGGAGCCUCUUAAUGGGGUGACUGCGUACCUUUUGUAUAAUGGGUCAGCGACUUAUAUUCUGUAGCAAGGUUAACCGAAUAGGGGAGCCGAAGGGAAACCGAGUCUUAACUGGGCGUUAAGUUGCAGGGUAUAGACCCGAAACCCGGUGAUCUAGCCAUGGGCAGGUUGAAGGUUGGGUAACACUAACUGGAGGACCGAACCGACUAAUGUUGAAAAAUUAGCGGAUGACUUGUGGCUGGGGGUGAAAGGCCAAUCAAACCGGGAGAUAGCUGGUUCUCCCCGAAAGCUAUUUAGGUAGCGCCUCGUGAAUUCAUCUCCGGGGGUAGAGCACUGUUUCGGCAAGGGGGUCAUCCCGACUUACCAACCCGAUGCAAACUGCGAAUACCGGAGAAUGUUAUCACGGGAGACACACGGCGGGUGCUAACGUCCGUCGUGAAGAGGGAAACAACCCAGACCGCCAGCUAAGGUCCCAAAGUCAUGGUUAAGUGGGAAACGAUGUGGGAAGGCCCAGACAGCCAGGAUGUUGGCUUAGAAGCAGCCAUCAUUUAAAGAAAGCGUAAUAGCUCACUGGUCGAGUCGGCCUGCGCGGAAGAUGUAACGGGGCUAAACCAUGCACCGAAGCUGCGGCAGCGACACUAUGUGUUGUUGGGUAGGGGAGCGUUCUGUAAGCCUGUGAAGGUGGCCUGUGAGGGUUGCUGGAGGUAUCAGAAGUGCGAAUGCUGACAUAAGUAACGAUAAAGCGGGUGAAAAGCCCGCUCGCCGGAAGACCAAGGGUUCCUGUCCAACGUUAAUCGGGGCAGGGUGAGUCGACCCCUAAGGCGAGGCCGAAAGGCGUAGUCGAUGGGAAACAGGUUAAUAUUCCUGUACUUGGUGUUACUGCGAAGGGGGGACGGAGAAGGCUAUGUUGGCCGGGCGACGGUUGUCCCGGUUUAAGCGUGUAGGCUGGUUUUCCAGGCAAAUCCGGAAAAUCAAGGCUGAGGCGUGAUGACGAGGCACUACGGUGCUGAAGCGACAAAUGCCCUGCUUCCAGGAAAAGCCUCUAAGCAUCAGGUAACAUCAAAUCGUACCCCAAACCGACACAGGUGGUCAGGUAGAGAAUACCAAGGCGCUUGAGAGAACUCGGGUGAAGGAACUAGGCAAAAUGGUGCCGUAACUUCGGGAGAAGGCACGCUGAUAUGUAGGUGAAGCGACUUGCUCGUGGAGCUGAAAUCAGUCGAAGAUACCAGCUGGCUGCAACUGUUUAUUAAAAACACAGCACUGUGCAAACACGAAAGUGGACGUAUACGGUGUGACGCCUGCCCGGUGCCGGAAGGUUAAUUGAUGGGGUUAGCGGUAACGCGAAGCUCUUGAUCGAAGCCCCGGUAAACGGCGGCCGUAACUAUAACGGUCCUAAGGUAGCGAAAUUCCUUGUCGGGUAAGUUCCGACCUGCACGAAUGGCGUAAUGAUGGCCAGGCUGUCUCCACCCGAGACUCAGUGAAAUUGAACUCGCUGUGAAGAUGCAGUGUACCCGCGGCAAGACGGAAAGACCCCGUGAACCUUUACUAUAGCUUGACACUGAACAUUGAGCCUUGAUGUGUAGGAUAGGUGGGAGGCUUUGAAGUGUGGACGCCAGUCUGCAUGGAGCCGACCUUGAAAUACCACCCUUUAAUGUUUGAUGUUCUAACGUGGGCCCCUUACCGGGGUUGCGGACAGUGUCUGGUGGGUAGUUUGACUGGGGCGGUCUCCUCCUAAAGAGUAACGGAGGAGCACGAAGGUUGGCUAAUCCUGGUCGGACAUCAGGAGGUUAGUGCAAUGGCAUAAGCCAGCUUGACUGCGAGCGUGACGGCGCGAGCAGGUGCGAAAGCAGGUCAUAGUGAUCCGGUGGUUCUGAAUGGAAGGGCCAUCGCUCAACGGAUAAAAGGUACUCCGGGGAUAACAGGCUGAUACCGCCCAAGAGUUCAUAUCGACGGCGGUGUUUGGCACCUCGAUGUCGGCUCAUCACAUCCUGGGGCUGAAGUAGGUCCCAAGGGUAUGGCUGUUCGCCAUUUAAAGUGGUACGCGAGCUGGGUUUAGAACGUCGUGAGACAGUUAGGUCCCUAUCUGCCGUGGGCGCUGGAGAACUGAGGGGGGCUGCUCCUAGUACGAGAGGACCGGAGUGGACGCAUCACUGGUGUUCGGGUUGUCAUGCCAAUGGCACUGCCCGGUAGCUAAAUGCGGAAGAGAUAAGUGCUGAAAGCAUCUAAGCACGAAACUUGCCCCGAGAUGAGUUCUCCCUGACUCCUUGAGAGUCCUGAAGGAACGUUGAAGACGACGACGUUGAUAGGCCGGGUGUGUAAGCGCAGCGAUGCGUUGAGCUAACCGGUACUAAUGAACCGUGAGGCUUAACCUUACAACGCCGAAG